UUGUCCCUACGAUGCGCGUGUUUUAGCAGAGUUUUAUGGACCAACACCAAUAAAACCGGGGCCUAACUUUAGGUGUGGCUGUAUACCUUGUUCCUAUGGGCAAGGAAACAUCAAACAUCUAAGAGGGCGCCCACCUGCUGAAAAGGUUCAUUAAUAACUUACUUAACACGGCAUUAGUGGGGAUAUU
rnacentral:other from 1 species